rnacentral:rRNA from 1 species
AACGAACGCUGGCGGCAUGCCUAACACAUGCAAGUCGAACGAGACCUUCGGGUCUAGGUGCGCACGGGUGGGUACCGCGGGGGGACCUGCCCUUGAGUACGGAAUACCUCCCUGAAAGGGGUCUUAAUACCGGAUAAGGUCUUACCACCUAAGAUCUAUCGCCAUUGGGUGGGGCCGCGUUGGCUUAGCUAGUUGGUAGGGUAAUAGCCGACCAAGGGGACGUUGCAUGGCUGGUCGGGGAGGAUGACCAGCUACACUGGGAAUGAGGCACGGACCAGAACGGUACGCGAGGGAGCAGUAGGGAAUAUUAGAGGAGGGGCGAAAGCGUGAUACCGCAAUGCCGGGUGAGUGAUGAAGGCGUUAGGGUUGUAAAGCUCUUUUAGCCGGGAUGAUAAUGACAGUAACGGGAGAAUAAGCACCGGCUAACUACGUG